ACUUUUCUUUUUUUUUCUUUUUUUUUUUUUGUCUUUUUGUCUUUUGUUGUUGUUGUUGUUGUUGAUGCUAUUUCUUGGGCCGCUCCCGCGGCAUAUGGAGGUUCCCAGAAAAAGGCAAAAUAAAUAAAUAAAUAAUAAAUAAAUAAAGGAAAAAUGUGCUUUCAUUAGUGUCUUCCUAGAGAGUUUCCUUCCUGGAGAUCCUGUCAUGGCUCAGUGGUUAACGAACCCAAAUAGUAUCCAUGAGGAUGUGGGUUAGAUCCCUGGCAUCACUCAGUGGGUUAAGGAUCACAGCAUUGCCAUGAGCUGUGGUGUAGGUCACAGACAUGGCUCGGAUCCUGCGUUGCUAUGGCUGUGGCAAAGGCUGGCAGCUGUAGCUCCCAUUCAACCCCUAGCUUGAGAACCUCCAUAUGCUGUGGGUGUGGCCCCAAAAAGACAAAAGACAAAAAAAAAUGUAUUUCCUAAAAAGCAUCUUCAAGAAUGAUAGAGCACCUUAAGACAAAUAGGAAAUUAUAUUCAUAUAAAAAAUUAUGCAAAUUACUUCUGAGAGAACCAUCAAGAAAAACACUUUGAGCUCUUGAUUUAUAAGUUUUAUUCAACUACAGUGUGUACAUCCUGUAUAACUACACACAUUUGACAAAUGUGGGUAUUUUUUCAUAGAUUUCCCUCAUGUAAAAACCUGCUUUCAUAAAUAUCUUCUUGAUAAUAUUGCUGAGAACUUUUCUUUAUAACUGUUCAGGAAAAAAAAAAAAGAGAGAGAGAGAGAGAGAGAGAGAGACAAAUGGAGUCUACCAAAAAGGAAAACCUUUAAGGACAGUUGAAGAGUUUGAGUUUAAGAAGGAGCAAUUUGGAGUCUUCAUUUUGGUUCCGGGGGUUAAGGGCCCAACACAUUCUCCAUGAGGAUCCAGGUUUAACCCCUGGCCUACCUCAAUGGGUUAAGAAUCCGGUUUUGCUGCAAGUUGCGGCAUAGGUCGAGGAUGAGGCUCGGAUGAGGCACUGCAGCUCCGACUGACCCCUAGCCUGGGAACUUCCAUAUGCCACAAGAGCAGCCCAUAAAAAUAAAAAAAUAAAACCAAAUAAGACGGGGCAAUUUUUUGCCACUGCACAUUAAAAACAACAUUGAAAGUAAUUAUAAAUUACAUCAUCUAAAUUAUCUGCAAUAGGAAAUAAAUUAUUUCUGCCACACAACUGUAUUUGUACAUUAAUCAGAAAAGAAUAACAAUAACAAAAACACUACCAACAGGAAAAAAGUUCAAACAGCUAUUUCUUUGAUAAGAUUAAAUCACAGUCCGGGAUUGGGCAAGAUGGUGGAGGAGUAAGGGUCAUGCACAGCUUCUCCC
rnacentral:lncRNA from 1 species